rnacentral:tRNA from 2 species
GGGCGGUUAGCUCAGUCUGGGAGAGCGUCGGUCUUACAAACCGAAGGUCACUGGUUCGAACCCAGUAUCGCCCACCA